rfam:Hordeum vulgare subsp. vulgare, WGS project CAJW01000000 data, contig: morex_contig_135796
UAAAUACUCCCUCCGUUCGGAAAUACUUGUCCUAAAAAUGUAUAAAGUGGAUGUAUCUAUAAUUAAAAUAAGUCUAGAUACAUCUAUUUCUAGGACAAGUAUUUUCGGACGAAGGGAGUAAUAG